UCCGACGCUUGCUCUGGUGGACCAUCGGAACAUCCGAUGGUAUUAAAUUUUCUCUAUCAUUUGGAUACUUGAAUACCAUAGAAUAAUCCUAGAUACCAUAACUUGAUCACUUGAAUACCAUAACUUGGAUACUUGAAUAUCAUGAUUUGGAUAUCAAGAAUACCAUAGCUUGGAUAUUUGAAUAGCAUGAUUUGUACCUUGCCAUGGUUUGGUUACAUACUUGGGAUCUAGAAAACCUACAAGGCACAUGCUUGACAAACCAUUAGUCCCAAUGACUAUGUUCUUACUCAAUCACCAAAAUCACAAACUAUGGCCUAAUGGGGGCCAUGUUCUCUACAAUCUCCCCCUUUUGGUGAUUGAUGACAACACAAUCAAAGCAAGCAUAAAUUUGCAACAAUUUACCAAUUGAACCACUUACACUUGCUUGAAUGCUUACCAUCAUCCAAUUUGUACUUGAUCGCCCCUUUUGUUCAUUCUCAUCUUGCUUCACUUCUCUCCCCCUUUAUAUAUUUCUCCCUCUUUCUUGAAUUUCUCCCCUUAUGCAUGUUCACUUCUAGGACUUACUUUUGAUUGAUUCCACACUUCUCCCC
rnacentral:lncRNA from 1 species